AUUGAACGCUGGCGGCAUGCUUUACACAUGCAAGUCGAACGGUAACAGGCCGCAAGGUGCUGACGAGUGGCGCACGGGUGCGUAAUGCAUCGGAACGUGCCCAGUCGUGGGGGAUAACUACUCGAAAGAGUAGCUAAUACCGCAUACGAUCUAUGGAUGAAAGCGGGGGACCGUAAGGCCUCGCGCGAUUGGAGCGGCCGAUGUCAGAUUAGGUAGUUGGUGGGGUAAAGGCUCACCAAGCCAACGAUCUGUAGCUGGUCUGAGAGGACGACCAGCCACACUGGGACUGAGACACGGCCCAGACUCCUACGGGAGGCAGCAGUGGGGAAUUUUGGACAAUGGGCGCAAGCCUGAUCCAGCAAUGCCGCGUGCAGGAAGGAGGCCUUCGGGUUGUAAACUGCUUUUGUACGGAACGAAACGGCCCUGGUUAAUACCCGGGGCUAAUGACGGUACCGUAAGAAUAAGCACCGGCUAACUACGUG
rnacentral:rRNA from 1 species